AAAUUUGCUACAAAAUUUCUCCAAAACAUAAAAUCGUAGGAAAAUUCAUAGGAAACUAGAAGUAACUAAAUAGGAAACGAAGCCUAAGGAAUUUGGUAGGAAAAUUUCUUUCUAAUUUCCUACGAAAAUUGCACCGAAGCAAUUUCGUAGGAAACUCGUAGAAAACAUUUCCUUCCAAAUUCCUUCGAAAUUUAUUUCCUACCAAUUGAAUGAAUGUUUUCCACCAAUUUUCUACCAAAUGUUUUAUGUUUAGGGAACAAAUAAAUAACAAUUAAUACUGCCAAAAAAAAAGAGACGGUGAGAUAAAAAAAAAAUCAGAAGGACAAAGAUCUCAUCCCUUCGUUUUCUUGGGAAUCAAAGAAGCGUAAGAAAAAAAAAAUCUCAGAUGCAAAGCCAUCACAAUAGAAGCAGAAGCACAGGCUCAGCUUCACGCCUUCACCACUCUUCUUCUUCGUCUUCGCUGCCGUCCCUAUUCCAAUCUACUUUUCUGGUUUACUCGGCGAGAUCUCUUCGUUUCAGUUAUGAUCUCGCCGUCAUUAACACACGCCCGUGCUUAGA